rnacentral:precursor_RNA from 15 species
AGCGCUGCCAUCAUUCCUUCUAGUUGCCCCACUUGGAUAAGGCACUCUUAUUUUGUGCCUUCCAGCAAAAUAAAUUACCUUAUCCUUGGUGGCUGUUGAGAAAGUACUCUCUGGCCAAG